rnacentral:lncRNA from 1 species
AAAUGUUCUACUUCAUAGAUAGAGAGAUGGUGAAGAGUCCCACAACUAUCUGUCCCUGCUGAUAGACAACAAAACUGCCACACACAUCGCCAAUAAUGUUUGGGACCUUACACAAGUCAGACAACCUCUCUCUCUCACACACACCAACUCUCUUAUCUUUCACACCUUCAAAUGUAUCUCCUAGGCACAUUAUAGCAUAUCUCUUGCAACCCAUUAAAAAAGUUUCCACCUUUCAUUUCUUACCACAAUCCCUCUACUGUUUUUAGAUCAACACUGUUCUUAUUGCAACACAUUCUUUCUCUCUCUCUUUCUCUCUCAAAACUACUAUUCCCUUUCUUGUUGGUUCCUAAACAAAGCAUUUAUUGUUAUAUUCUUCUAUAAAAGAGAGAGUAUACCAAAUACAUUACAAAAACAAAAGAGUAUAUUAUNN